rnacentral:rRNA from 1 species
CUGCUAUCGGAUGAUACUAAGCCAUGCGAGUCUUUGUAGUAAUACAAGGCAGACGGCUCAGUAACACGUAGUCAACCUACCCUAUGGACGAGAAUAAUCUCGGGAAACUGAGCAUAAUUCUUGAUAGAUCAUAAUGCCUGGAAUGGUUUAUGGUUAAAAUGAUUCGUCGCCAUAGGAUGGGACUGCGGCCUAUCAGCUUGUUGGUGAGGUAAUGGCCCACCAAGGCGAUUACAGGUACGGGCUCUGAGAGGAGAAGCCCGGAGAUGGGUACUGAGACACGGACCCAGGCCCUAUGGGGCGCAGCAGGCGAGAAAACUUUGCAAUGUGCGAAAGCACGACAAGGUUAAUCCGAGUGAUUUCUGCUAAAGAAAUCUUUUGUCAGUCGUAAAACCACUGGCGAAUAAGGGGUGGGCAAGUUCUGGUGUCAGCCGCCGCGGUAAAACCAGCACCUCAAGUGGUCAGGAUGAUUAUUGGGCCUAAAGCAUCCGUAGCCGGCUUUGUAAGUUUUCGGUUAAAUCCAUGUGCUCAACGCAUGGGCUGCCGAAAAUACUGCAUGGCUAGGGAGUGGGAGAGGUAGACGGUACUCAGUAGGAAGGGGUAAAAUCCUUUGAUCUAUUGAUGACCACCUGUGGCGAAGGCGGUCUACCAGAACACGUUCGACGGUGAGGGAUGAAAGCUGGGGGAGCAAACCGGAUUAGAUACCCGGGUAGUCCCAGCCGUAAACGAUGCAGACUCGAUGAUGCAUUGGCAUAAUAGCCAAUGUAGUGUCGCAGGGAAGCCGUUAAGUCUGCCGCCUGGGAAGUACGUACGCAAGUAUGAAACUU